rnacentral:rRNA from 1 species
AUUGAACGCUGGCGGCAGGCUUAACACAUGCAAGUCGAGCGGAGAUGAGGUGCUUGCACCUUAUCUUAGCGGCGGACGGGUGAGUAAUGCUUAGGAAUCUGCCUAUUAGUGGGGGACAACAUUCCGAAAGGAAUGCUAAUACCGCAUACGCCCUACGGGGGAAGGCAGGGGAUCUUCGGACCUGUCGCUAAUAGAUGAGCCUAAGUCGGAUUAGCUAGUUGGUGGGGUAAAGGCCUACCAAGGCGACGAUCUGUAGCGGGUCUGAGAGGAUGAUCCGCCACACUGGGACUGAGACACGGCCCAGACUCCUACGGGAGGCAGCAGUGGGGAAUAUUGGACAAUGGGGGGAACCCUGAUCCAGCCAUGCCGCGUGUGUGAAGAAGGCCUUAUGGUUGUAAAGCACUUUAAGCGAGGAGGAGGCUACUGAGACUAAUACUCUUGGAUAGUGGACGUUACUCGCAGAAUAAGCAUCGGCUAACUCUGUGCCAGCCGCCGCAGUAAUAC